CGCAUGCAAGUUGUUUUGUUUAAUGCUCUUUUCCUGUGGUGAUGCAACCCCUUUGGUUUUGUGUCAAAAAGAUUAAUAAGAGAUAGCAGCCUUACCUGUUGGCAUAGGUUUGUGUUCCUUUCCACAGGAAACUGGCUCUCCAUAGGAUUUUGUAAUGAAGCAGCUUAAAAUCAGAUGAAAAACAUUAUCCCUAUCUGAAACCACUUCUGUUUAGGUCCUAAUUCACCCUAUACUGCGCAUCAUUCUAUAUUAGAACAGAGAGAAUAGCCUUAAUAGUGUGACAUAGUGAGGGUGCUCUGGACAGGUGGCAUUCCUACUUGAGACCCUGAUGCCACCAACAACCCCUGCCAUUAUGCACAUGCUCAACUUUAGGCAGGAAAGUAGGCCCAGUGGUUUCAGUGGGACUACUCAGACACACAGAGGGAAACCUGCUGUACUACUUGAAGUAAUCUACUUCCUCUUGGGCCAGGUAAAGAAUGAAAUUGAAACACACAGCAGAGAACUCAUUUCAUAUAUAUGGCAGUUUUCUUUAUUGAUUGCUUGAUGUGAAACAAUUGGCAAUUUUUUCUCACGCAUUACAAAAAAAUAUUAAACUUGGCUCAGUCUGCAAUCCUUUCAGCACAGCCAUAUUAAUUAACAGAAAAAGAAAAAAAAAACAGAAACAAACAAAAAAACCCUACAAGUCUACCAAAUAGAGCAUUUACAAAUGCACAAAACAUGCCACUUUGGCUUUAUGGGGAAAAAAUAGCUUCUUCUAGAUUAAAAAAAUCUUUUAACAUAAAUAAGUUAGUAUAAUUUCUCAGUGUCUUUACAGAGUUAUGUACACAGGUACACUUCAAACUUUUAUGUUUUUAUUUUUACAUACAGAUACACAGGCAGUGUAGAAAUACUGUUUAAAGAUGUAGUGUCCCUUUUCAUUCACUCAUGAACAUCAGGGAAAAGAGAUCAGCAAUCAACAAUAUUCUGUUUUGGAAUAUGAACUCUCCAGAUGCAUUUGAAAAUAUCCAGCCAAUGUUAUGGGUAAUAGUUAGAGUCAAUGGAACUACUCUAAAAUUCUUUAGGUUUAUCCUAAGAGAUUUAAGAAGUUGCAGGACAUAAAAAUCCUUUUGCUACUACAUAACGGAAACAGAGCUCCCACCUCUUAAGCUUAAUGUAAUAAGUAGAAAUUCACAAGCAGCCUGUAACAGUCUGCUGUAGCCAGUGUUAGCAUUAUGGUGUAUUUAAAAAAAAAGAAAGAAAAAAAAAGGCAUUGUAGACCCCACUUAAAGAGACAAUACAUCUUUAAAUAUUUUUUUUUAAGAAAACCUCUACACUGCCUCUCUUCAUAAAUUUCCCUGCUUGCUAGAUUGUGAAUGCAAGUUUCAAUUGGUCACCCUUUGCCAUCCCCUCCCUCUCCCCCCCAAAAAAGGUUUAUGUGCUACAUAAGGUAAAAACUAUAUACACAGGUAGUACAAUGAAGCAAAUAAGGAAAAACCUAAUUGCACAAUGCUACAUCCAAUGCUUUUAGAGGCAGGUUUUUUAAGAGUGCCUAAAAUUUUAGUGUUAUUGUUUAUUUUUUUGUUUUUUUUUUCAGUGCUUGUACAGGAUCUCCAUCCCAUGGAGAAUCAACGAUAUGUAUUUUAAUUUUUAUAUAUAUAUAUAACUUUACAUCUUCCUCCCUUCAUCAACCACCAAGGCAUCCGAUGAACAAGGAAAUGCAUAUUCUUAAAUCUGUAAUGAAAAUAAAAAGGGAAGGUAUUAGAAGUGCCAAAAGAAAUGUGAUUGCUUUGCUCUAGGAGAGAUCAUGACACAGAAGGCACUAUUUAAAAACUAAAUCAAUCACUGGCAUUCUUUGCCCUAAUUGUUGGGGAUGGAGCGAUUUAAAAUUGGGUGUGGUGCCAACAAAACUUUUGACCAGUAAUCAGUAGUAUAUGAGCAGAAGAGGGCCAUAUUCCUUUAAAAACAAGGGAAACUCACCCCCACCCCACCCUUAUGGAGGGCUGCUGAUCCACACAUAACUUUUUUAAAUCCAGCAGGCCCACACAGAGUUGAGACCAAGUGAACAUGUUUCCAGAGCGCCCCAUAUUUCACUUUUUAAAAGUAGUAUAAAUGCUGUGUUAUUAAGCAGUUUUGCAACAAGUCUGAUGGCUGACCCAGAGCCACAUAUUUAAGAUUAAUGCAAUAUUCGUUUGCAACUGAUCUUCUAUCUUUCUAAACUCAAACGUAUUUUGGGUUGCAAUAACAAAAAUAAACAGCCCAGGGAACCCUCCUCUACUCCACUCCUUUUCUUUUUUGUCUGCCGACACCAUUAGUUUCCCCUUCAAACACCCAAAUAAACAGACAGUAGUAGUACAAUUUGCAUACACAUGCAUGCUGACGUGUUCCUGGAUUGUUUACCGCAGCAGAGGUAAUUUGUUUUAAUUUCUGCUUUGCAGCUUAAUCUCUUCUGCACAAUCGCAAAUCAUGUUUGGAAGCUCUUUCCUUUAACCCCUACUACUUUGAAACCAUCGGUAAAUGUACGACCCCCCAGGCCCUUACAUUGAAAAAAACCCUCUCCUUAACGCAGUGUGCUGACUGUAAAUCCCGAUGUGUGUGAUCGUAGAAAAAUAAAUAAAUAUAACAAAAAAGAACAGUUCUGAUACAAAGAAAAUGCUCAGCUUCUUGAUUUACAGUCCUUAUUUACUUAUAUGUCUCACGAUUAAAGUUUGCUGGUAUGUGCAAAGACAAUAGGCAAAGCCAUUAAUACUCAUCUGAAAGUUCAAUACAGUUUAGAAAGAACGUAUUUGAAACUCAUUCGUUCUACCAGCAUGGGACCGAUACAAUUGGUAAGAGGAUCCUCCUUACUUAAGUGACCCAAAUCUUAAACCAGAGCGAAGGUAUUGUUUAUUAAUGGCACAUAAUAAAAACUCGCUCAUUUACACUCCCUCUCCCCUACCCCCCAAAGUGUAGCAUAGUCUUCCUAAAGCAUAGUAACAAGAUGUAUUUAAUCUGUAGACUUCUAUUUUAAAGCCCUUUUGAAAUUCUGUUUUUCAGGCGUAUUAAAAAAAAAAAGACCAAGUCCCACAAAGUUUUUCAGAGAAACUACUAUCCUAGAUACUGGAAUGGCCUCAGAGUGGACCUUUCCAUAGUCCUUCAAUGCUUUACUCAGUUACACUGGUUUGAAAAAAAACACCCCACCGUUGUAAUGGGAACCCACCUAAACAGUUUACGUUUGACGUCUUCUUGGGCUGGAUUUCUUGGGUGUUUGCUCCACUGAACUGGCACUGGGGGAUUCUUCUGAAACCUCUUCUUCUGUUGUGUUGGCUCUUUUAGGUUGAGGAGAAGAAUCUAGGAGGGGUACAUUGAAAGAAACAAAAAGAAAAGUGAAAACUUGAUAUUUUCUACAUUUGCUGCCAGAUGUUUGCUCUGCAUGGGGGAACGGGGGACUGGAGGACCCUGAAUAUUUAUGACCCUCAGGGUCAACUAUCGAUUGCAUGAAAGAGAUGGGGAGAAGAGUUGUUUCUUUGCAUAAAUAAAGAUACAAGUUUCUUGUUUUGUCCAAAAUAUCCUUCUACACUUUGCUUCACAUGUGUUAUGAAACUUGUACCUAUUUAAUCAAGUCAAAAGGAUGCAGAAUUCACAUAGCGAUUACUACGGUCGGGGGGGAGAGGAAGGAGGUGUUAGUUUAAGGGCAUUUGACUGCAAAUGAUCCAUGGACUCCAGAAGCCAAUUUAACUUAAGAUUCCCGAGAGUACAGACCGUCCUGGGUUUUUAAGCUAAGAGGAGGGGUAAAUCUUGAAACGCUGUCUGCCAGUAAACCAGUCGAACAGUUUACCGUAUGCAGGACAUGAGCGCGAUGUAUAUGCGAAGGAGGUAUACAGCGCUAACUAACACUGACAAGGAUACAGCACAGAAAGUAAAAAGCUUUUGUUUUCUAAGAGUACGUUACCAUCCGUGGCUGGUCGUUUUCUUUGCCCAGUGCACUGGUCUGCUAAGUCCGUUUGAUUUUCAGAUACAUCAGUUUUUUGAUCUACAAAGUGAGUGUCCUCUGAGAUUCCCUGAGAACCGACUACAAUCACCGUUGUUGGGCAGUUUCCAUUUACAUCCAAACUCUCAUGGGUGGCAGCUUUGCAAACCACUUUGGGGGGCCUCGGAGGUCUGAAGUAGAAGUCGGGCGAGCUCCCUUUCUCCACCGCUUGCCACUCGAACCUGCCAGCCAGGGGCUUGUGAUUCUCGAAAUCAAAAUUCCACUUCCUUUGACAUGCCUCUUCCAUGUCCUUGUGGUGCUUCUUUAAGUCCCUGUUUAACUCUUCGUGAUUCACGGGCCCAAAGAGGUUCCUGCAAGCGGAAGGCUUGGGAUACUCCGACUGCCGGGCUUCCAUCCGCUCCAGGGUCGGGCUCCCAUUCGAAAUACGAACGUUUGACAUUUCCCCCCACCCUCUUUCUUCUGGCGGCGGUGGGUGUUUGUCUCUUUCGCUACGUGAAAAUAUGUCCUUCCUCGCCUCUUCUUCUUCUUUUUAAACUCGAUCUCCGCUCCACGAGAAGAGACGACAACAAACACUUGCAUAAGACACGGGCCGGGGGGAGAGAACCCCUGAUAUUCACCAGAAAGCCCGGGGCAGAUCCAGCGGACGCUGGGGAGAGCGGAGGAUGGGGGAAAAGCCAAGCCCCCUUUUGCAAGCCCACUUCCAGGCUGAUGCGAAGCCUGCGGCUCCCCCGAUCCAAACUGCGCUCGCAAACCUUGCCGAUGUCAAAGCUGCCGUGUAGUAAAAAAAAAAAAAAAAAAAAAAAAAAAAAAAAAAAAGACGACGGAAAAAACAAGAAAAGACGAGCCCUUUUCUCAGUUGCCCAAUAUGGCGAUUGAAGGGAGGCUGACGAAGAAGAAAAUGAUUGACAUUACAAGUCUAUUUAAACAGCGGAGGCGAUCCAUUGGUUAAUGCGCAGGGCGCCGCCCCAUCUGUGCGCCUCACCUCUCCCAAGCAGCCCGCUCUAAAGGUGGCCCGGCCUCAGUUGCCACCUCUCGGGCUCAGUCCGCUUUCACCGGACUCGUUUGUGAAAAGGGGGGUGGGGGAGGAGAUGGAGGCAAACCGCUUUUUGCCGUUCGUCCGUUGCUGCCGGCGGCCCUGCAAAGCUCCCAGCUGCCCUGCCGCAAGCGGGGCCGGCGGAGGCUCGGCGCGGAGCGGCGUGGCCGCGGGGCCGGCAGCGAGGCGCGGGGGGGGCGGCUGGUUACAGCCUGACUUCGUCCUUGCAGCCGGCGCUUCGCAGCCCCCCGCGCCAAGGGUUUCGCCCUGGAGACGGGAAGGUCAGGAGUUCACGGCGAGGCGCUGGGGCUGGGCGGGGAUCUCGAGGCUGGCACACACGCGGGGCCGGGAGAGGGAAGCGGGACCCCUCGGUACAACGGCACCCCCGGGCCCGCCAGCGAAGGAGCGAGCUAGGGAGGUGUAAGUAAGGCGGGAGCCAGCAGGGACACCUCCUGCUAAAAGAAGUAGCCGAAGCGGGGGCUCCCGCAUCCUUGGCGGAGGCUGAGAUCGCCGUGCGUGAGCGAGCCUAGUUCUGCAGUGUGUUGGGGCUGACGGGCUCGCUGCUCCGGCAAUCCCGCCCACCUCCUCACUCAGCUCCAGCAGGCUCGGAGCAGCCAAGCACUGGUACUGCGUACCUUUAACACCGUCUGCUCCCUGCCCGGCCCCGGUCACAGCCCGUGCCGUCUCCUGCCUGUGAAGGGGAGGUCCCGUGGUCAGGGGUGGAGGGUUCUGCUAGGGCUCCAGACCACAUCGGAUCCUCCGAGGUUAAGAGCGCCCCCGGGGACGCUGCCACCAGCCCUGGCUGAAGGGUUUACGUACUCCUUCGCCUUUGUAAUGGGAACAGAAAGAUCCCAGUCUUCGGGGCUUGUGUUCCCCUCUAUCCUGCACAACAUGAUAUCGUUUCACUGUAAUUCGAUUUUGUUUCUAUGUGCCUAUGCACCACCAGAUUUGCUGCUUUGGACAAACUAUUUUAAGCAGAGAACCCCCAGAGUUUAACUGGAGGAGAGAGAGAGGAUUCAACUGACCUUGAAGCAACUGGGUUUGUUUUACUUUCUCUCUCUCUCUCUCUCUCUGGGGCCAAAGUUUUUAAUGGGCUGCUUAAGCUUUCACAGUGAACAUUCCUUAAGGCAAUGAUGUAAUAAAAAUAAUAGUCAUUUCACAACACCAGGAGUAAGGCUGGAGGAAGGAAGAGGAAAACUAAAGAUGGAAAACCCUGUUUUCCUCUUUUGCCCCAUUCAGUCUCAAUGAUCAUUCCGAUUUCCUGGGCAGAGAGAGGUUCGUGUGACUUACCCAAGGCCUUAGAAGAAAUUAGUUUCGGAGCAGGGAGUUCUUAAUUUUAGGCCUGGUCUACACUACACAGUUAGGUCGACGUAAGCUGCCUUGCAUUGACCUAGCUGUGGAAGUAUCUUCUCUUAAAUUUGGCUCCUGCCCACAAAAGUACCUCUCUACACUGACUUAGGCCAUGUCUACCCUUACGAAAUUACAGUGGCACAGCUGUACCAAUACACCUGUGCUGCUGUAAGAUCGCUCAUGUGGCCAUGUUAUGGCAAUGAGAGAGCUCUCCUGUUGCCAUAAUAAAACCUGCCCAACGAGCAGCAGUAGCUAUGUUGGCGGGAGAGCAUCUCCCACCGACAUAGUGCUGUGCACACACGUGCUUAUUAUGGCAAAAUGUAUGUCACUCGGGGGUGGUUUUUUUCCACCCCCUGAGCAAGAAAAGUUUGCUAACAUAAGUGCUAGUGUAGACAUGGCCUAAAUAACACCACCUCUCCAAGCACUGUAGAGUCAGUUGACGUAAUUAGAUCAAUGCAGCACUUGCAUUGACUGUUACUGGCCUUCAGGAGCUGUCCCACAGUGCCAACACUAACACUACAAUUCAUACAGGUACUCCUGAUGAAGACAUGCACUGCUGACACAAGGAGCCAAGUGUGCACACAUACACACAAGUGAUUUAAUAACUAUGGUGGCUGUAUGCUGACAUCAGUUAAGUGGGCAUAAUUUUGGAUUGUAUUGGCCUUAGUUUUCUAUCUAAUGCUUGGACCAUUAUGCUUGAUGGGUCUUAAUAUUGCCAGCCCCAAUCAUUCAACAAAUCAUAAAUCAGGCCAAAAAAACCCAAAAGAUAAUAAAACACAAACAAAAAACAUACACCAUGAGAUUAUGUUAAAAAUUAUGAGAUUUCAAUGAAAUAAUAAAAUUGUGUACCUUUUUAUUUGCCUUCUGGUUUGGUUUUGGUUUGGUUUUAGCCCUUAGUUUUCAUUUUCCAACUUCUCUCUGCUACCACACGUCUAAAAACUUACUUUUAAAAAUUAAAAUAAGUAAAGCUGACAUUCUUAUGACUCCAGGCGCUUUCCUGGAUAAGUUACAACUGAUAACCAUUCAUGUAUAUGUCCAGCUAGGAACUCAGCAUCCAAACAGCAUCAGAUCUAGAACCUGGUCUAUGCUAGAAAAGAGCACUAGUUUGACUACAUCAGGGGCUUGCAUCAGAUUAACUAUUUAGCUAAACUGGUUCACUUUUCUAGUACAGAGAAGGCCUAAAUGAGCCACACACCUCUCUCAGCCAGAGACCCAAUGGACUGCCAAGAAAGCAGGUGGGAGCUUGGGCGUUUACGAGAGACCCUAGAAGUAAACCAUCCUAAAAGACUGUGUUGCCCUUGCAACAUAGGAGGCUGUAAUGCUGCAGUCAUUUAUAUCGGUGCAAAGUAGGGAUAAAAUGCCACCCUUCUGAUUGGAAGUAUUUUACACCUGCUUUGUACUGGUAUAAAGGACUGUGCGAUGUGCAAAAGCAGGGCAGACUCAAGACUGUAGCCUCAGCAAUGCAAUCGUUUUCACAUGAGAAGACAUUCCAAGAGGUAUGGGAUAAACAUGAUUUGGAGCGUUCAGCAAUUCUUUGGAGAAAAUCUGCAAAUGACCUGUAGUUAUCAUGGUCUUUCUUCAAGGAGCAACUCAAUUCUUAGCUUACAUCCUGCUUAGCAUUUUAUGACCAGUGUUUGCUGCUGGAGUCAGGCUCAUUAGCUAAUUCACAACAGGAGAGGGGUUUUUUUCUUAUUUUUCUCCCCUUAGAAGAAAUAAACCACAACCAUUCCACCUUAAAUAGUUUAGGCUGUAAGUAGAAAGGCCGUGUCUGGAGCGACCUUGCUAUGAUCUAAAGUGUUUUGUUUACAGUCAGGCACCCCCUGAUUGCUGCAGCAAAUAGUGAGAGAGGCAGGCGUCUGCUGUAGUAGCAGCAAAGCGUGAAAAACUACUAUAGAGCCCUGAAGAAAAGAUCUUCAAAUAUCAGAGCGCCAUCCUCCCGCAGAAAGAGGGCACGACAGGCAAAACAGCGAGGUUUUCAGAUAAAUAGUUUGAAGGAGACAUGAUGUACUUUUUAAUCCCGUUCGACGUUCAGUUAUGCCUCGUGCUGGAAAUGAUCAUAACUGAGCUGUUGAGCCAUUAUUUUCCAGUACUUCGCCUGAAGAUUGAGUGUGUGUGUGUGUGUGUGUGUGUGUGUGUUUCAGUUGUAGAAGAAAUGAGUCAAAAGCUGGAAGAGAGGAUUAAAUGAAGAAAAACUUUGAGAAGAAAAACAGAAAGGAAAGGAAUGAGAACAGUUUAUCUAGAGGUCUGAUCAGAGCAGUGCUAUGAUUUUCAUGUAUCUCCCACCUUGUACUUUGCUUCUCAGCUCUUACUCGGGCUGCAACGUUAGCCGAGCCCCUCAAUUGUAUUCUUACUCUGGGAUCUGGUUAUGCAAGCUUCCCAUCUUCAUUUUGCCCCAUCCCCCUAACAUUUAAGAGGGCACUUGCAAAAAUGACAAAGCAUACUUAAGCUAGCCACUUAAUAUCUUUUGGUUGGUGUUUUGUUUUGUUUUGUGUUUUUAAAUUCAUCUAGGAAGUGUGGGUCAGGCGGGAAUAAUCAAACAGCCACUCUACUGGACACUGUUGCAGUCAGGAUGAAGAAAAUGGUAAGGGGGUGAUCUAUUCCAAUGGUUUGACUAAGCUUGGUUUUGACCUAUCCAAGGCUGUGAGAGCUCAUUAUAAUUCAAAACCCAUUAAAAAGCCAUUUGCAUGCAUUUCCUUGCCAAAGGAAUUUAUGGUUAGGGGGUAAAUAUAAUUCCAGACACAGGCCCCAAUACUGCACCUGAGUUCAAUGGGACUAUUCACCGUGCAUAAAGCUACUCAUAUACUUAAUUGUAUGCAGGAUUGGGGCCACAGAGAGUGCAUAUAUGCUGAAUGGUGGGUUGAAUUGGCCUGCCAUAUCUAGGUUUAUUAAAGGAGCCGUUAUAUAUGUCCAUUAGGGCUAGUCCCAUCGAUGAGCAAGGUCAGCCAGAGAAUGCAAGAAACCUUCUCUUCCAUCGCAUCAGUGGUUGAGGGGGAAAAGGCGCGACUCAUAUGUUCAUUAAAAUGGUGUAUUUCUAACACUUUUAACUAACAUGUUAAAGUCCCAGUUAGAGCUGGGCAGGAAAUGUUUUUCCCAUCCCACAAACAUUUUCAAAGUUUUGGAAAUUUUUCCCGUCCCAUGUUGGGAUGAAAAGUCAAAAUUUUGAAAACCAUCCUGAACCAAAAAGUGUUUGGUUCAAGUCAGUUGACACAUUUCAUUUUGAUAAUUUUGAAAGGUUUUGUUUUAGUAAUGACCAUUUAAAAAUGUACUAUAAUUAGCUUCAAUUUUGGAGGGAAAAGGGUGUUUUCAACCAGAAAACCGAAAUUUUCAUUUAAAAAUGUCAAAAUGGCAUGUCUCAACAAUUUUAAAACUUUUUUCCCCAAAUUUUAGUUUUAGUCAAGAAAUUUGUCAAAAGGAGCCGUCUCCCAUGAAAUGUUUGUUUUGAUGAACAGGUAUUUUUCUAUGGAAAAACUAAUGCACAUGAGCUAUCCUAAAGUAAAAACACAGUGAAGACCAAACACUUUCAUUCUACAGUGAAGUAAACUCACCAAAGUCAAUCCCAGCUGGGGAUAUAAGAUGUUUACCUUGGUGAGUUUACCUCUCGGUAAAACUGAAGUGCCUGGUCUUCCCUGUGUUUGUGCGUCAGAACAGCUCAUGCAAUUUAGUUACUCUGAGGUAAAAACACGGGGUUUUUAGCAGUGAAGACAAGCACUAAGUCAAGUGCAAUGUGCUUCCAGAAAUUCCAGUGCAUCUCCACACACAUCCCCUGAAGGAGCUAAUAAUAUUUUACUAUCGCACAGCAGUAUUGUGAGAACUAACUACUUCAUGAUUGUAAAAUGGCUGGAGGAUGUAAAGUGCUAUAUAAGAGCUAAGUGCUAAUAAUAAUGAUUCAUUAUUAUUAUUACUAUGAGGGUAAACAGUUUUCUAACUAUGUGCCCAGCAACCUGGUGCCUUUAAGUAAGUUUCUCAAUAGAUAAAUUAUAUCCAGUGGAAAUGAGUUGUUCUGUUUUUCUACAAAGCCUGAAGUGAACCUUUCUGGGAAGGGGAUAUUAUUUUCUAGCAAUGUUUUCUCAAGCACAAUUCUUUAGGUUCCCAAGUGAUGACACAUUCUAAAGCAAUGCUUUUGGCCCAAGAUGUACAUCUGUGAAAGGGACACUGGCUCCAUUUUUUAAAGCCAUUCAUUAAAUAAAAACACCCUAUGUCAUAUGUUAUGUUUCUCUGAAAUGUUUAAAGUUUUUAGUGCAUGAAAUCAUAUGGUGCCUGGAUUUUUUCCAGAACACAGCACUAACCUCUAAAUCAGUAACUGGACAUUGCUGGAAGGGUUUGGUGGGGAGUUUUUUAAUGUCAGUUUUGUGUUUUGUUUUCUUUCAGUAAAUGCUACAUCUUUAUGUAUUAGGCUUUUUCAUAAAAUCAGUACUUCAUAUAUGUGAUCGUUAUUACUGAAUCUGUCCAAAAGGCACACACAUUACUACCCUGCCCAAAAAGACAGGGACAGUUCAGCUGGUGUAAUUGUCUUAGUUCCAAUAGCUAUUACACCCACCAAGGACCUGCCCCAAAGUUUUUUCUUUAGGGGUAAUAAUUGCUUGAGGAUCAAGAGGGCUAGAAACAUUUUCCUUAUAUAAAUAAGUGAAUUGGUUUGGCUGCUUCCUAAACUCUUUUUAGGAGAUGAUUUUAUUUUCUAAAGAACUUUGAUUUAAAAUUACAGCCCAUCUCAGACAUCAAAAAUUACUGUGUCAUGUCUCUGUGCUAAAUGCAAUGAAUAGGACACUGGACUAGACUGCAUUGUAUUCCUGGCUUUGCUGUGUCACCUUGAGCAGGUGCUUUCAACUCUUGUUGCCCAAGUCCCCUCCCAUAUUUUGUCUAACUUGACUGUUUAGCUGUUUGGGGAACUGUGUUUGUGCAGUACCUAGCACAAUGGGACCCUAGGUACUAGCGUAAUAAUAUUAAUAAUUAAUGUAGAGCAGUGCCUCAAACUUAUUAUAUCUUGCCUGUGUUAAUAAUACUAAACCAUGUUACAGAAUUGCACAGCUUCAUGAUACGACAUCAUUAGUGCACUAACAUAUUAUAACAUGAUAUCCCCACAUGGUAAAUUUUUUUAUUUCACUGCAAGUUUCUGGGAAGUUAGAGGAAAUCUAAAAGAAGCAGACCCCUAUGACCCGUAUGAAAGGUAUUUUAAAAGAAGGGAAGAGAGUUUCUGCAUAACCAGCUGCUUCCCAUUGGAACCAAGUAUAAUGCUUCCAGGAACUCUGGGUUGGGCAGAAAAUGUCCUUUUGUUUGCUUGUUUUUAAUAAGAAGGUGUCUCUAUUAAAGGUAAUCUGCAAAAGAAAAACAACUGGAUUUGUGUUCUCUUCCUGAUGGUUUAAAAAAGUGCUGAAAAGAUUUUUUUUUUCCUGCUUAUUUACAUCCCAAAAUUUUACCUGAGGGCUCUCAGUGGGGGCAGAAAGUUGUGUGUGUGUGUACAGCUUUUUGAUUGUUUUUAGAGUGUUCUUACUUCCUCUGUCCUAGUUGUAUCCAUGUAAACUGAAGCUUCUGUUCAAAGCUGUUUACCUGAAAACCUCAAUUAAAAAAAUUUGUCAUCAUAUUGAUUAUUGGUUUGAAAACAAUUUUAAAUGUCAUUUUCAGCCAAAGUUAGGGUUGCUAGACUGUAUCAGUAGUUUAUGUGUACAAACGUUCUUGAAAGGUAGACACAAAACAAAAGGAAAUCAAUAAACAAACUGUUGGAAACCUUGGAAAUCCAGAGUGAAGGUUAAACUCAAAAGAAACUCAAACCUCUGAAAGCAUGGAAAUUCAGUUAGGUGGCCGGACCACCUUAACUCUUCCCACAUGUGAUGCCCUGAGAAACUCAGACUACUUUAGCCCAAUAUUGCUUAAAAAUCAUGAGGGAUUUUUUUGUUUGUUUGUUUGUUUUAAAUAAAAAAUUGGGGUGUUUUGAUUUAGCUUCUGAGCUGUUUUGAGCCUUUAGGGGUCAUGUUUUCCAUCUUCUCUCUGUAACCAGGAGGGACAGAAACUUACUUUUUAUUAAUGUAAGCUGAGAUUCUCCUGUGAUCAAGUGAGUCCAGGAGCUUGGGCUUUCACAAAAAUACCAAAUAUCACAAGACUCGUGUUAAAAUCACAAUAGUUGGCAACAAUGUUACUCGUCCAUAGCAAAGAGUUUAUUUAUCAGUUACCAUGAAAACUAAGAAUGUCUUACUUCUUUAGGCCUGAUUUUCAAAGAUACUGAACACACACAAUUCCUGUUGAAAUCAAUGGGAGCUAUAGGUGCUCAGCAGUUUUGAAAAUUAAGCCAUGAGGUCUGCAGGAUUGAGGGUCCCUUCCUAAGAUAUAUAGCAACGGGGGAAAUGUGGUUGGCAGGAAAGUUGGGGGCUGAAUCUCCCUUCCCCCUUGGCCUGCUGUUCGCUGGCCAGCACGGGAGGGCAAGAGCUAUGGGAACAGAAAAGUUGCUGUUGCAUUGCAUGGCUACUUCCCUGGGAGUCCCUCCCCCAUGCACCAUGAUUCCCCUUUCCCUGAGCCCAUGUAAGCUCUUCAGCCCUAUGACAAGUUCAACCUGCAAUCCAUAAUGAGUCUUGUCCUUGGCCCUUCCCCCAGAAUGCACCUCCUGCAAACCUUAGGUUAACCUGUCCCCAAACUCUCCAUCAUGGGCCUUAGGAGGCCUGUGGAGGCCUAGAGUAUGGGUCGUGGCAUCCCCUCUUUGAGCCUUAUUAGGCUGUUGGGGCGGAGGGUGCUUUCAGAUUCACCCCCUGUGGGCUUUAGGAGUAACUAAGCAGCAGCUUUCACUCAUAAAUUUCCUGAGGGCCCCCUCCUCCUCAGUUUUAGUUGACCUCUUUAUCCCCAGUGAAGCAAAAAAUAGCUAAAAGAAGCUUGUCAGCUUUGCCACAAGCCAAGAUAGGCUUGUUGGGACUAAGGGCUGGUCUGCACUGGGAACGUACAUUGGCAUAGCUACUUCUUUCAGGGGGUGUGAAAAAGCAAUACUCCUGAGAGAUAUAGCUGUACCGACCUAACUCCCAGUGUCAGCAGCGUUACGCUGACAGAAGAAUUCUUUUGUCCACCUAGCUACCUCCUCCUGGGGAGGUGGAUUACCUACACCAGUGGGAAAACCCCCGCCUACACUGAAGUGCAACACUGAUGCAGAUGCAGCACUGCAGCUGCACUUUUGUAGCAUUUUAAGUGUAGAUAUACCCUGAGGUCCAUAUCCUCAAAGGUGUUUAGAUUCCCAUCAGGAGUUAGGUGCUUUGAAAAUAGCUUUGAAAAUGUGGUCCUAAACAUCAACACAGUGGUAGGGAAUGAGCCUAAGGUUAUGUCUUCAUUGAUAAAAAGUCAUAUUUCACUGAGGGAUAACUAAUGGAUGUUAGCUAUUACAGCUGUGCAAACAACUUAUUUUUUGGUUUGGUGGCCAAGCCUAAAAAAAAAUUUGGGAUUGAUCCAAAAUAUUUCUUUUUAAAUUUUUCAGCAAACCAAAAAAAAAAAAAAAAAAGUCAGAACAUUUGUUUGGUCAAACAAAAUUUUUUGUUCAACCCAAAAUGAAACAUUUAUUUUUGUUUGUAGUUUUUUAUAACCUUUUGGAAAAUAAAGUGGAAGUAUAUUUCUAAAAUUCUAAAGUCGUUUUGAAUUUAAAAAAAUCAAAAUGUUUCAUUUAAAAAAUGUCAAAAAUGAAACAUUUCUGCUUUUUCAGAACUUUUUUUCAUGUCUCAAAUAAUUUGGUGCAUUUGUUACAAAAUGUUUCAGUUGACCUGAAUAUGCAUCUUUUUUUUAGUGAAAAAAACAUUUAAUUUGAAAAAUGUCACCAAGGUCUAUUACCUGUGCUACUGUAAAAAUAUAGAGACAGAUCACUUGAAUUUUACUAAGGCCUUGCUAGACUACUAAUUCUAUGCUGGUUUAGCUAUAGAUGCAGUGUAUUCCGACAGAAGGAGGUCUUUUGUUGCCAUAGCUACACCACUUCCCUGACUGACAUUAUCAAUGCUCACCGUGCUGUUGUAGCUUUGUUGGUCCCAGGAUAUUGGAGAGACAAGCACGGCAAGCUGCAGGAGAGUGCAGAGCUCAUCAGCAGAAGUGACCAUGAUGGAGUCCCAGAAUCGCAAAAGAGCUCCAGCAUGCAUUGAAUGGGAGGUACGGGAUCUGAUCGCUGUAUGGCGAGAGGA